ACUGAAUUAUUGCGAUGUUGAAUCUUGGUUUUUUUAUGAAGCACAAUGCUGGCCAGUUUUGUACAUUGUGUAGAUGAACGAUGCAUCAGUAUUAGAGGGCUAUUUAGUAAAUAUAUCUAAAGAUCACCUUUAUUGCUGAAGAUCUUAUUUUACUGUAACAUGGUUGGUUUUUUGUUGGGUUUUUUUUUUUAUUUAUUCACAAGACAGAGUUUCUUGCAAAUUGCUGAUGAAAAGGUAUGUAUUGAUUGUGCACAUAUGUUAAUUAAUGAGGAUAUUUAUAUUUUCGUAAGUUUCAAGUCUCUUCAAUAUUUUCCUCUAUAGCAGUGUUAAGGUCAGCAGUUUAAUAAUUAUUGUUCCAAAGCAUAUAAGUUCAUAAAUCAGUGAAUAUGUGCUUUGUUUUAGGGUGUGUUUUGUAUCAUUAUAUUGUGGCUAGGAUACUUAUAUUUUAAUUAAAAUUUGAUUUUUAAUAACUAUCAGUAUUAUUGAUAAACAUGCAUUCAAAAAUUUCAUACCUUUCCCUUUAAAUUUGAUCUUUUUUCACAUCUGUGCAUCUGAAUCUGUACAUUAAUAUAUAUUUUUUGAUUCACAUUAGAGGCCUUUAUUCUUUUAAAUGGUUAAAGAUAUUUUCAAAAAGAAAACCACCACAAUUUCCAUCAGUUACUAAAAUGUCAUGUUCAAACCAUGUGCACUUCUUUUUUUUUUCUUUUUUUGUAAUGCUGAGAAGAAAGUCACUUUGAUGCACGAUUUUUUUUAUUAAUAACAGUUACAUUUUAUUGCUUUUACUGGGCAUAUAGAUAAAAUGUACAUAGCAUAUUUACAUAUUAUGAUUGUUCUUGCAUUGUUUGCGAUAAGCAAAAGGGGUAUACAUGUGUAUCAACUACUUAAAUAGGGCAAAUAAAUGUAGAAUUUAGUACAUUUACAAAGCCUUGUAGCUUGAUUUUUUUUUGUCAUGCUUGCUAGUAUUUGGUUUAAAAAACUUUUGAUUUGACUAAAUGGAUAUUUUCACCUGCAUGUUCUUGUUUACAUGUAAAUUGUAAAAUGACAAAAUAGAUAUUUUUACUUAGAUGUAUAAAUGUGAAGGAGGAGGCAGCAAAAAUCAUAAAGGUUAUUGUUUUGUAAUAUUGAGCUUCAAAUUUGAUCUAUGAAAUGUAUUUUUCAAAGGUAUUAGGAAUUUAGGCAUUUUCAUACAAACAUUAUUCCUCUGAAUUUUUCUGCAUACGUAAUUUUGUAGUGCAAGUACUGAACAAUCACACAUUGAGGACAUUUAGUUUUUUGUAUGCUUCUUAAUGACAAGGAGUAGAAAAGAAAGUAUUGCAUCAAGAAAUGUUUUAAGUACUAAUUUGUGUACUGUAUGUAGAACACUUAUUGUGUUAUCAGGGAUAUGCAUAUUUAUGAUCAUUUGUGAAUAACGACGCUUUUUUUUAUCAUUAAAAACCUGAUUCUGUGA
rnacentral:sRNA from 1 species